GAUGAACGCUAGCGAUAGGCUUAACACAUGCAAGUCGAGGGGCAUCACGGGGUAGCAAUACUUUGGUGGCGACCGGCGUACGGGUGCGUAACACGUAUGCAACCUUCCUGUAAGUGUGGGAUAGCCUCCUGAAAGGGAGAUUAAUACCGCAUGAUAUGUAUUUGCUGCAUGGUGGAUACAUUAAACAUUUAUGGCUUACAGAUGGGCAUGCGUUCCAUUAGGCAGUUGGUGGGGUAACGGCUCACCAAACCUACGAUGGAUAGGGGUUCUGAGAGGAAGGUCCCCCACACUGGAACUGAGACACGGUCCAGACUCCUACGGGAGGCAGCAGUGAGGAAUAUUGGUCAAUGGGCGCGAGCCUGAACCAGCCAAGUCGCGUGAAGGAUGACUGCCUUAUGGGUUGUAAACUUACUUUUACUAGGGGUAAUAAAGUGAGUCACGUGUGAUUUUUGUCAUGUACCCUGUGAAUAAGCAUCGGCUAACUCCGUGCC
rnacentral:rRNA from 1 species